rnacentral:rRNA from 1 species
GACGAACGCUGGCGGCGUGCUUAACACAUGCAAGUCGAACGAAGAGCGAUGGAAGCUUGCUUCUAUUAAUCUUAGUGGCGAACGGGUGAGUAACGCGUAAUCAACCUGCCCUUCAGAGGGGGACAACAGUUGGAAACGACUGCUAAUACCGCAUACGAUCCAAUCUCGGCAUCGAGACUGGAUGAAAGGUGGCCUCUAUUUAUAAGCUAUCACUGAAGGAGGGGAUUGCGUCUGAUUAGCUAGUUGGAGGGGUAACGGCCCACCAAGGCGAUGAUCAGUAGCCGGUCUGAGAGGAUGAACGGCCACAUUGGGACUGAGACGCGGCCCAGACUCCUACGGGAGGCAGCAGUGGGGAAUCUUCCGCAAUGGACGAAAGUCUGACGGAGCAACGCCGCGUGAGUGAUGACGGCCUUCGGGUUGUAAAGCUCUGUUAAUCGGGACGAAUGGUUCUUGUGCGAAU